GGAUGGUUGGCCGAGAGGUAAGGCACCGGCAUGCUAAGCCGGCGAGCCCGUAAGGGUGCGGAGGUUCGAUCCCUCCACCGUCCGCCA
rnacentral:tRNA from 1 species